rnacentral:tRNA from 1 species
GGGGGCGUGGCGGAAUCGGCAGACGCACCGGACUUAAAAUCCGGAGGCCGCAAGGUCGUGUGGGUUCGAGUCCCACCGCCCCUA